rnacentral:rRNA from 1 species
UACGUAGGGAGCAAGCGUUGUCCGGAAUCAUUGGGCGUAAAGCGCGCGUAGGUGGCCCGGUAAGUCCGCUCUGAAAGUCACAGGCUCAACCUGUGAAAGCGGGUGGAUACUGCCGGGCUAGAGUCCGGAAGAGGCGAGUGGAAUUCCUGGUGUAGCGGUGGAAUGCGCAGAUAUCAGGAGGAACACCACGGCGAAGGCAGCACUCUGGGCCGGUACUGACGCUGAGGAGCGAAAGCGUGGGGAGCAAACAGG